GCGGCCGCGGCUGUGCCAGCUGUGCUGCUGGUGCUACUGCGCGACGACGCGAGUCCCGCAACCAUAGCAAACGCCUUACGAUGAAUCGGAUACUCGUGAAGACACAGCAAGGGCUUCACGAGACGCUGUGCGCACACUUCUCGCUGCCGAAAGCCGUCUCGUUCAGGACGCAUUGAAGCGGACACAGCCUGCAGCGAAGAACAACGUGACGGACAUUGCUCUACUCCACUUGGGGCGCCUGCGCAAGCAGGCGUUUGGUGAAUGGCGUCACUACGGACCCGAGCCAACAGGGGGGUUUCGACUCCUCCCCCCCCCCACGCCUCGCCAUGCUUGGCUUUGCUGUGUCCGAGGAAAAGGGGAUCCUGGGGGUUGAGCCGACGCCGGGUGAUUGGACCUGUAAGGCCCCCCGGCAGAGGCAACACACCCCUUUGGCCCCAGCUUCACGUAGACGGCACCCCUGGGCUGACCCACCCAGAGGAAAUCGGCAGUAGUCUUUUGCUAUCUCUCUCUCUCUCCACAUUUUCGUCUUUCUCUCUCACUUUUCAUCUUUCCUGUCCUCUUCUCUCUUCAAUUUACUUCCGUGUUUCACGGCGGCAAGGGUUAACCUGGUGUGAAUAUCCAACCAUGAGUAGUUAGAUGAGGUUAUAGUAACAGCGUACGGCUGGCAUCAUGCAGGCUUGAUGACAAGUCCAGCCGUGUCCCCUUGUUGGGCUCCAUGGUGGGCGGUUGGCGCUGUUGCCGAACAGUUUCAUCUUUUUAUGGCUUCUCAAGCAUCCACUAUUUUUGAUCAGUCUCUGAAAAGAGGCCACACCGAGGCAACUGUUCAUUUCAACACACAAUCCAAAGUAUCCUUCCAAAAGUACCAUGUCAUCCACAGUGAAGGCACACCAGUACGAAAGCUAUCUCCAUUUUUGGUGGCCAAGUGCCUGAAAGAAAGAAAUUGGACCCAAGUACAAAAUUUCGAAAAUGUCAAGCGGUCACCUGCUCCUAGAGCUAGCCGAAAAAGAACAAGUAUCAAAGCUCUCCGAACUCGCCUGCAUUGGUGACACUACCGUAACAAUUUCUGUCCACAGAUCCCUUAACACCAGCAGGGGAGGAAUAUCUGAAGAAGAUUUCUUAGGCCUAAGUGACAAGGAGCUCCUCGAGGGGUUUCAGGAUCAAGACGUCAUAAAGGUACUACUCCGAUCAACCACAAGCAAACCAGUUUUCGAACUACAGCCUGAUGACUUAUCAGCUCAGUUUUUGCCGGAUGGUGAACCUUUGUUCAACUGCUCGACAUGGGAAUCAAGCGACAUUGACCAAAACGAUGGAAAUCAACGAGUGUGCCUCGCAGCUGAAAUUGGCCGCUGCCGGUCAACCAACCGUGGACUGAUCGCACAGACGACUGCAGCCUACAAAUAGCACGGAUCUUCACUCGGAGCUUGGGGCAUGGAACCGGUGCAGAUAUGACUGCACCGCUUACGCUUACGCUGUUCUUUCUGCAGCAGAAUUAUCCUGGCGUCGCCAUAUCGAGUAUGUCACGUGCAAGGCUUCAAGUGUUCUAGGUUUUCUUAGAAGAAAUGCAAGAAAUUUACCUAUUGCCGCAAAAGAGCUCUUGUAUAAAGCCAAUGUUAGACCAAUACAUGAAUACGCUUGUUGCGUUUGGGACCCUUGGCAGCAAGUAGACAUUCAAAGGAUUGAAAGAAUUCAAAAUUUAGCUGUGAGAUUUGUUCAUGCCGAUUAUACCCGCCACUUUAGCGUGACCAGUGCAAAGGAAAGCCUUGGAUGGGAGUCACUGCAGCAGCGUAGGCAAUACGUAAGGUUAAAAUUUUUUCACAGUAUAUUCCAUAACAACACUGGUAUUAACCGGAAUUUUUACAUGCACAAUCCUGAUUACGUCCAACCCCGUCUUGAUCAUGCCUACAAGAUAAAGGAGAUAAGAUGUAGGAUGAACUAUUUCCGGAUGGCGUUUUUUCCCCAGAAUAAUUCACGAGUGGAACAAACUGCCUCAUGACAUUGCCACUGUUAUAUCCCCUGAAGUAUUUGCUUCCUCUUUACAGAACUCGUAUCGUAAAUAGUCCUCGUGAUCCCCUGCGGGGUAUUUGCUUGUGUAUUUUUAGUACUAAAAAUGUUUUGCUUUUCUUUUGUCCAUUUGGCUAUUGCUGCAGUACAUUUAUUCAAUUACCUGCUUUUGGUUGGCUAUGUUUUUAUUGUACUCCCCCCCCCCCCCCACUGUAAUGCCGAAAGGCGCUGUGGGUAUUGUAAUAAAUAAAUAAAUAAAUAAAUAUAAGUGCCUCAAAGGAAUUCUAUAACCAUGAUCUCAUAUUAGAAGAAUUAAACAGGGUACUUUCCGCUGGUAAAAAAGCAGCAACAGGCCCUGACCAUGUGCACUACACAAUGCUGGCGCACCUAUCCCAGGCAUCGGCGGAGGCACUUCUCCAAUUUUUCAAUAAAAUAUGGGAAUCUGGUUAAUGCCUGAAGAUUGGAAAAAUGCAAUAGUUAUACCUUUCCUCAAAUCUGGUAAACCCCCAACAUCCCCGAGUAGCUACAGGCCCAUUGCAUUAACAAGUCUCGCAAAAACAUACAAAAGCAUUAUAUACAUAACUUACCUUCAUUCUUGAAAGAAGACACCUUAUAGACUCACACCAGCGCGGAUACAAAAAGGGCUGUUCAACGACUGACCAUUUCGUGAGACUAGAACACGAAAUACGAGAUGCAUUUCUACACAAACAGCACUGUCUCGCGG